rnacentral:rRNA from 1 species
GACGAACGCUGGCGGCGUGCUUAACACAUGCAAGUCGAACGGAAAGGCCUUUUCGGAGGUACUCGAGUGGCGAACGGGUGAGUAACACGUGGGUGAUCUGCCCUGCACUCUGGGAUAAGCCUGGGAAACUGGGUCUAAUACCGGAUAGGACCGCACUUUAGUGUGUGUGGUGGAAAGUUUUUUCGGUGUAGGAUGAGCCCGCGGCCUAUCAGCUUGUUGGUGGGGUAAUGGCCUACCAAGGCGGCGACGGGUAGCCGGACUGAGAGGUUGGUCGGCCACAUGGGGACUGAGAUACGGCCCAGACUCCUACGGGAGGCAGCAGUGGGGAAUAUUGCACAAUGGGCGCAAGCCUGAUGCAGCGACGCCGCGUGGGGGAUGACGGCCUUCGGGUUGUAAACUCCUUUCGCCAGGGACGAAGCGUUUUGUGACGGUACCUGGAGAAGAAGCACCGGCUAACUACG